AACUAUUUACCAAAAACAUAUAUAUACACAAAGUCGUAAGACCACAAAUAGGGACUGACGCCUACCUAGUGCCGAAGGGUCAAAGAAGUUGGUGACCUGAAGACCUAGGCGCCGUGACCGAAGCCCCGAUGAAUGGCGGCUAUGACUAUAAUGAUCCUAAGGUGGUAAAAAUUUAAAUAGAAAAUUAUCUUUAUUCCUCCAUUAUGCACU
rnacentral:rRNA from 1 species